UACGAAGGGUGCAAGCGUUAAUCGGAAUUACUGGGCGUAAAGCGUGCGCAGGCGGUGAUGUAAGACAGUUGUGAAAUCCCCCGGGCUCAACCUGGGAACUGCAUCUGUGACUGCAUUGCUGGAGUGCGGCAGAGGGGGAUGGAAUUCCGCGUGUAGCAGUGAAAUGCGUAGAUAUGCGGAGGAACACCGAUGGCGAAGGCAAUCCCCUGGGCCUGCACUGACGCUCAUGCACGAAAGCGUGGGAGCAAACAGG
rnacentral:rRNA from 1 species